UUUUUUAGAAGAGAUGCAUUUAUUAGAUAAAAAAUCAAUACAUGCUUUUAAAGAAAGGAAUUUGGUGAUUUACAAUGACUUAGCAAAUCGCAUAGUGAAAACAGGCGAUAAAUCAUUCAAGUUUCUGACCUAUCAGCUUUCGACGGUAUGGUAUUGGCUUACCGUGGCAGUGACGGUUAACGGGGGAUUAGGGUUCGAUUCCGGAGAGGGAGCCUGAGAAACGGCUACCACAUCUAAGGAAGGCAGCAGGCGCGCAAAUUACCCAAUUCUAACAGCAUAAGAGAGGUAGUGACAAGAAAUAACAAUACAAGGCAGUUAAAAUGCUUUGUAAUUGGAAUGAUAGAAAUUUAAACACCUUUUAAAGUAUCAAUUGGAGGGCAAGUCUGGUGCCAGCAGCCGCGGUAAUUCCAGCUCCAAUAGCGUAUAUUAAAAUUGUUGCAGUUAAAAAGCUCGUAGUUGAAUUUCUGCUAAAAAUAACCGGUCUGCUUUUAAUAAAGGUGGUAUCUUGGUGUGUUUUUAGCAAUAAUGUCCUUUGAAAUGUUUUUUACUUCAUUGUAAUAAAUUAUAUUCAGGAUUUUUACUUUGAGAAAAUUAGAGUGUUUCUAGCAGGCUAACGCUUUGAAUA
rnacentral:rRNA from 1 species